UACAGAGGGUGCGAGCGUUGUCCGGAAUCACUGGGCGUAAAGGGCGCGUAGGCGGUCUGCUAAGCGUGUGGUGAAAGCUCGGGGCUCAACCCCGCGUCGGCCAUGCGAACUGGUGGACUGGAGCUUGUCAGAGGCAGGCGGAAUUCCGGGUGUAGCGGUGGAAUGCGUAGAGAUCCGGAAGAACACCGGUGGCGAAGGCGGCCUGCUGGGACAAUGCCGACGCUGAGGCGCGACAGCGUGGGGAGCAAACAGG
rnacentral:rRNA from 1 species